rnacentral:lncRNA from 1 species
GCAGCACCAAUUUUAAUUGUAUAUGCCGGAGUACAAUAUCAACAUCGAUAAAAAGAGGCAGCGAUCGAAUAUCAACAGGAUAACAGGCAGAGAUCCAUGGUGAUGAUCGGAGCUAGCAGUACAAGCAAAGCUAGUAGGCGAAUGGAGGAGGAUCGGAGGAGCAACUGAACUUAGAUCUUGCCGCGCGGGCCCGGCACCGGCGGCUGCUGCGGCCCCUUCUUGAUCGGCAGGAGGUCCGGCGACGCCGACGCGCUGACGUAGGCCAGCAGGGAUCCGCCGCCCAGCAGCAGGAACUUGAGCAGCAGGCCCCUCUUGGUGAACGGCCCCGCGAACGUCUCGAAGAACUUGCUCUGCAAACGCAGGAAUCGUUCGAAGCAAACAGAGUUUUGAGUAAGAUUGCGCAUGCAAAAAAAACCGCAGAAAUUAAGUGGAUGCUGAUGCAUCGAUCAUAACAACCUGAAGCGGGUUGUAGGGCGAGGGCGCGUCGGAGCCGUAGAGGUCCCACUGCCCGGUGGUGUUGCCGAUGUCGUCGAGGUCGAAGUAGACGCUCUUGUCGCCGUACUUGGCCACCACGGCGGCGCGGGGCCUGCGGGCGGAGCGGCAGGCGGCGCGGGGCGCCGGCCUGACGGCGAGCCUCCUGCCGGAGAUGGAGCUGCCGCCGAGGCCCUUCACGGCGACCGGCUGCACGGAGACGGCGGCGAGGGAGGCCAUGGCGUUCGCUGAGUACUGUCGAGGUUACUACCGGUAGUGUCCAAGUGCGUACGUGCGCAAACUUAAUUCGGCGGAUCGUGCUAAGGAUCC